rnacentral:rRNA from 1 species
GAGUAGGAUUUUCUACAAUAGCUUACCACAGAACUAGUUAAGGUUUUCGACGGUGUAAAAGUUCUCAAAAAUCUUGAAAAAAAUACUGAACCAACACACCUAUAAUAUAACAUGAUCCAAUGGAUGGAUUAAAAAAAUAUGACUGCAUGUGUCCUAGACAAAAAGAACAAAUGGUUCAAUAUAUAUUGAUCUUGGAGUGAGCUGAAAUGCUUGUUUUUUCGCCGAGGACACAUAAAUGCAUUUUUUCACAAUCACACUAUUGGACCAUCUUAUUAUAUUAGAGUGAGGCUCCCCUAUUUAUUUCAUAUUUUUUACUUACUUUUAAACCGUUAAGUGUUUAGCAAGCCUUAACUAGUUCUGUGACAAGCUAUAUAUAUAGUGGCUUUUGUGAAGCUGCAGGUAUAUGUUUCCAUUUGUUUUUAUAUUUAAUAGAAUGUCCAUUGUGGAUUUUGUGAAACUGUAGGUAUAUGUUUCCUUCCAUCCCUUUGCAAGAUUGGCUUAUAAAGUAUGGAGUAUUGAUGAAUAUCAAUUGAUAGUCACUGGGAUGUGAAAUUACAACGAUGUCAGUAUGUAUAAGAUUUCUCAAUUCCACUUUAUCUCGAGGAACCGCGAGAAAUGUAGUGUACAAAUGAGUUCAUGGCUUUGCAAGGCAUAUAAAUUUUAGGUGUGCAAUCUUUUCACUUAGUGUAUGUUGUUCCCGUAUGUAGACUUCCUUUUUGAUGAUAUUCACAAAUAUGUUGAACAUGGUUGGAAGUGAACAAAUUCUUGUGGAAUAUGAAUAUAAAGUUUUGC